rnacentral:rRNA from 1 species
GAUGAACGCUGACAGAAUGCUUAACACAUGCAAGUCUACUUGAAUUUGGGUUUUUUCCCUUAGAUUUGGGUGGCGGACGGGUGAGUAACGCGUAAAGAACUUGCCUCACAGUUAGGGACAACAUUUGGAAACGAAUGCUAAUACCUGAUAUUAUGAAUAUAUGGCAUCAUAUAAUUAUGAAAGCUAUAAGCGCUGUGAGAGAGCUUUGCGUCCCAUUAGCUAGUUGGAGAGGUAACGGCUCACCAAGGCGAUGAUGGGUAGCCGGCCUGAGAGGGUGAACGGCCACAAGGGGACUGAGACACGGCCCUUACUCCUACGGGAGGCAGCAGUGGGGAAUAUUGGACAAUGGACCAAGAGUCUGAUCCAGCAAUUCUGUGUGCACGAUGACGUUUUUCGGAAUGUAAAGUGCUUUCAGUUGAGAAGAAAAAAAUGACGGUACCAACAGAAGAAGUGACGGCUAAAUACGUG